ACCCGGUUACGACGGUCCAGUUUGUAACUCGCCUUAUUGUACUCUGCCUGGUCAGAGAUGCCAGAAGAUUUUUAUAUAUUAUGGAAUUAUUAUCACGUAACAACCGAGAUGCACCUGCGCUCCUGGUUACACCGGCCUGCGAGACGGACAUCGUUGAAUGCGCCGGAUCUCAAGGGCGAACUACCCUGCAAGAACGGCGGCAAAUGUUUCAACGCGGUGAACAACUUCACAUGCGACUGCCAGAACCGGAUACACCGAUGGCAAUUGCACCGAGGACAUAGACGAAUGCGAAAAUUCGCAGACAGAUUGUGGACAUGGCAGGUCCAAAAUCUGCUGGCCUGGUAGUUACGAGUGCGUUUGCAAUUUUGGCUACUGCGGCUACAAUUGCGCCAUGUUGGAUCCUUGCCAGGAGAAUUAUUGUCAGAACGGUGGAACCUGCAGGUGUGCCAAAGGUGGCGGAUACGAAUAUGAAUGUACUUCUGAAUACACGGGACUAAAUUGUACUGAGCGGGAGCGCUUAUUUAGUAGCAAGGCCAUCGACAUAGCAGUGAUCGUAGGUCCAAUUGUGGGCUGUUUUUUUCUCAUCAUCAUCAGCUGUCUCACAGCGCUCUUCAUGAUGGCAAGAAAGAAACGCGCUACACGCGGCACGUAUAGUCCGAGUGCUCAGGAAUUCAGUAAUCCUCGAGUGGAAAUGGAUAAUGUGAUGAAACCUCUUACGGAGGAAAGAUUGAUCUAAUCGAUGAUUGAUUGUUUGAUGAAGAGCCAAGUCAACGACGAUGAAACGAUUAUUUAUUUUGCGUCUUCUAGUCUUCGCUGUUUUGCCAUUACGAAAAAAUAGAUGAGUUAGAAGGAAUUUAUUUUAAACGAAUUGAAUUUCCAUCUCUUCGAAGAUUGAUGUGAUCGAAAAUUUUGGUAAAGUUCUUUUAAUUCGUCAUUUGUUUGCAAGAUAAUUGUAUAAGAAAAAUUUUAAGAUUAGCGCUGAAUUGAAUAAUAUAACUUUUUUCGCAACUGUACAUUUCUCGAUGACAUGACAUUUGUCGAGGAAUGACAAUUAAGAUUUGAUAACGGACGCUAGGCGUCAUGUUUGAACGAAAUAAAGUCAACAUGUUGUUUCGAGAGUCCCGAAUGAAGUACACAGUGUCUUAGAAAAAUAUACGUUGGAGAAAGAUAUAUGGUAACUGACAUUUCGCAAGAAUGAAAAAUUUAAUAUUUUGAAUUGAGAAUUCGAGGGACCAAUGAUGAUAUUCUUAGAAUUCGAGAAUUUAGGAAGGCAUCUUUAGGGAAGAUGAAUUUUGAAAGCUGAAAGAUUCAAGACUUUAAAUAUCAAAAAUUUUGAAAUCAACAGAUUCGGGGAGAAACUAUUCGAGGAUUCAAUGAUAUUUGAAUAAAACUCUCAUAGAGUAAUAAUGAGGAGGAGGACGAUCUACAUUUCUCUCUGGGACGGAUAGCAUAUAUAUAUAAUUAACUCGCGUAUAAAGUAAAUCAUAGAUUGUAACAAAGUGUACUUAAAGUUCUCAGAAGUGUCUUUAAGACGUGAAGCAAUACUCGAAGGAGGCAAUUCCGAACAAACAAACUCGUUCAUUUUAGUGCUUAAUCUCUCUUUCUCUCUCUCUUUCUCUGUUAUUUCUUUCUUUUUCCUUUCUUUCAGACCAUUGUUCUCUUUUUUUUUUGUUUUAUUUACUUAAAAAGAUAUUAUUUAUAAGGCGCGAUGCAUGUAAUAUCGAAGAUAGACGGCAUUUUAGAAAGGCGUGCGUAAACAAAUACAAGAUCUCCGAUAAUAAUGCACAAUGUUUUGACACUUUCAAAUGAUGGGCGAAUUAUAGAACACUCGUGAGAAAUUGUCUUGCAGAUUCAAACUCUUAAGUUUUAAAAUUUCAAGAAAUUUACUAUAAAACUGCAAUAUUUUAUCUUAUAUUUUUUCAUU
rnacentral:misc_RNA from 1 species